UUUCCGUAGGUGAACCUGCGGAAGGAUCAUUCAUAAUAAAGUGUUUUAUGGCACUUUUUAAAAAUCCAUAUCCACCUUGUGUGCAAUGUUAGAUCUCGUCAAUCUUGGCGAGAUUUUUAUACAUCAACUCAUUCUUUAACUAAUUUGUCUGAAAAAUAUUAUGAAUACUUAAUUCAAAAUACAACUUUUAACAACGGAUCUCUUGGCUCUC
rnacentral:misc_RNA from 1 species